rnacentral:miRNA from 1 species
CCUGGCCACGUGGGUUUGUCCUGCAGGCCGUCAUGCAGCCACACCACCUCUGGCCCCGGGAUCUGCACUGAGGGCGCUGCUAGGACAGGGUCCUCAUUGCUA